rnacentral:rRNA from 1 species
AUGAAGAUACCUCUUAAGAAUAAAAUAUUUGCAGAGUAUCUUCGUCGCGGAAUCACUUUUAUUAAAGAUAACCUUAUCAAGAGGAAUUGGCAUGGAAGUCCGCAAUGUGUUUUUUGUCAUCAUGAUGAGACAAUAAAACAUUUAUUCUUCCAAUGCAAAUUGGCUCGGUCUAUAUGGUCAGUCAUCCAGAUAGCUUCUGACUUGUAUCCUCCUUGUAGUGUUGCCAAUGUAUUUGGCAACUGGGGAUUGAUCACAGGUUUAGAACUCUUCGUAGGGUGA